AGUGAACGCUGGCGGUAGGCCUAACACAUGCAAGUCGAACGGCAGCACAGUAAGAGCUUGCUCUUACGGGUGGCGAGUGGCGGACGGGUGAGGAAUACAUCGGAAUCUACUUUUUCGUGGGGGAUAACGUAGGGAAACUUACGCUAAUACCGCAUACGACCUACGGGUGAAAGCAGGGGAUCUUCGGACCUUGCGCGAUUGAAUGAGCCGAUGUCGGAUUAGUUGGUUGGCGGGGUAAAGGCCCACCAAGGCGACGAUCCGUAGCUGGUCUGAGAGGAUGAUCGGCCACACUGGAACUGAGACACGGUCCAGACGCCUGCGGGAGGCAGCAGUGGGGAAUAUGGGACAAUGGGCGCAAGCCUGAUCCAGCCAUACCGCGUGGGUGAAAAAGGCCUUCGGGUUGUAAAGCCCUUUUGUUGGGAAAGAAAAGCAGCAGGUUAAUACCCCGCUGUUCUGACGGUACCCAAAGAAUAAGCACCGGCUAACUUCGUG
rnacentral:rRNA from 1 species